GUCAGAUCUGGCUGAACGUGACGUGCCGACUCGGAGCCGAGCGAGGUUUCCUGGCGGAGCUGCAGAGGGAGCAGGAGCCGAGCGGUCCGCACACGGCAUCAGCGGCUAUGGAUCCAUCGCUGUCCUCCUCCUGUUUUCGCCACUGAGGGACCGUUGGAUGCUCCAGUGCCCAUAGAGGAGGGAAGGAGGAGGAGGGGGCAUCCCUGUCGUUCUUCGACUACCAGGACCCAAUCGUGGACAAUAAAUCAGAGACGGGAGGUGUUUGUCGUACCGAGGGCCGCAGCGGCGAGCCGGCUUCUGAAAUAUCCAGCGGCUGCUCCUGUCAGCCAUUGUUUUUGUUGUCAUUGGAGGGCUCACAUUUGUUUUCCAGCCCUGGAUCUGCCCAGUGAAGGUGUAUGUGUGAGCUGUGCAUCGAGGGAACAUGGACAGUCUUUCACACCUUGUAUCCUUACAGCUCAUAGUGCUGAUAUGUCAAUGAUCACUGUCAGUACAGGGAAUGUAGGUAUUACCCUUAAUGUGUUAAAUUGUACAAGAAAGACCAGCCUCCAGGGGAUGGUGAAAUGCUGUUGGAGUCAUGCUUUGUUGUUAAAUUAGGUUACUUUUAAAUACUAGCAGGGGUGAAACAUCUAAGUCUUAUCUAAUGAUGAUCUCAUGAAUGUGACGUGGGCAAUUUUGUUAUGGGUGAUACAUUACAAUGGCAGUCCUUUAUAAAUCACCACUGUAUCUGUUAAACUGAACAGGGAAAUAUUUACCUCUGUGGUAAACACGGAGGCAGUUCAGGGUAAUUUUCAUCAGAGAAACAUUUAGAAACACAUUGUAGUCAUUCCAUAUUUAGUCAUUAGGGUGAUAUCACUGUUUGUAAGAAUGAUAUCAUCUGAACUUGUUCCACACGACCUUCCAAGUGAAUGAGCAUGCUGUAAAUAUACCCUGACAAUAGUAAUUGUUACGUUUGGUUCCUUGCAAUACAUCACAGUCAAACACGGUUAAUUGCUUUCAACAUCAGUUUGUUUCUUAUUUAGAUUUUCCAUUCGUUUGCUAAAUAUCACUAUCGAAAAUGUAUUUUUGGGCAUGUCACAGUGAUUUCAAACAUUGCUUUAAGAGUCACUACAAACAAGAGCCAUUAAAGACUACAGAAUACAGAACAUACACAUGCUAACAUUUGUACAUUGCCAUUCUCAGCUGGAAAACACUUCAGGUCAAGUUGUGUUGUUUUAAAUGUGCUAUAUGAAUAAUGGAAACUUGACUAGAUAUUCAGUCCCAUGCAAAAGCAUUAGUAGUGGUU
ensembl:lncRNA